GCCGGGCACAGUGGUGCAUGCCUGUAAUCCCAGUGACUCAGGAGGCUGGGAUAGGAGGAUCUUGAGUUCAAAGCCAGCCUCAGCAACUUAGAAAGGUUCUAAGCAACUCAGUGAGACCCUGUCUCUA
rnacentral:sRNA from 1 species